rnacentral:lncRNA from 1 species
GCCCAUACUAAUAUGCAUUGAAAAUUAUUUUAAUUAAUUUAAUUAAUUUAGACUCUGACUAAAAAUAAAUCUCUAAUAAAAUGAUAAAGGCAUAUUUGAUGAUUAUUGUGAUAUGAUUAACCUCUACAUAAUCAUCGUGGAUAACAUCUAUCUUUUAGUCUUUGCGACUGAUUUAUAUACUGCUUCUAGAAUAUCUCUAUGGACUUAGUCUC